GACGGAGGGUGCAAGCGUUGUUCGGAAUUACUGGGCGUAAAGGGCGCGUAGGCGGUCUGUUAAGUUCGGUGUGAAAGCCCCCGGCUCACCUGGGGAACUGCGCCGGAAACCGACAGACUCGAGUACCGGAGAGGAGGGUGGAAUUCCUGGUGUAGCGGUGAAAUGCGUAGAUAUCAGGAGGAACACCGGUGGCGAAGGCGGCCCUCUGGACGGAUACUGACACUGAGGAGCGAAAGCGUGGGGAGCGAACAGG
rnacentral:rRNA from 1 species